UUGGGAUAACAAUAAUUCACCCUGUAUUACUGUUAGUUGCAAGCAUGGAGUGCAACAGUCACACUUCAUAGAAAUUGAUCCAAUGCUAGACAAGGCAGAUACAUACAUAGAUGAAGGAUUUGUUAGAAGUGAUCAAAAUUUUCUGGUGACAGAUGACCUCCAUGUAACUCCAAUUUCCCUUCCCUAUUUCAUCCAGAUUUUAAAAAGACAGGGGUUACAUGCUGAUCAACUUGAGUAUGGGGAAAUCGUUAUAGAAAGGCCUCAUGUUUAUAAUCUACUUAAAACCAUGUUGACCUCAGAAACAACACUCAGUGAUGCACUUUCUUUUCGCCAAGUGGAAUAGCGGAACUGUGUGACAAUGAUGACCAGCUUUUACUUUUGUUUUUUCAUGUAAAUGUGGAUAUAAAAAAAGACUUUGGUCUAUAUUGCUCUUCCUGAUUAGUAAUUGCUUCAUAUGAUUGCUGAA